CCCCGCCCCCGCCACGCCCACCACCACCACUACCACCACACACACACACACACACACACACCGUUAUCUACUACAUACCAAUCACAUACGCCCAACUGGUGUAUGGAAAGUGCACAUACGGGCCCCAUCACCACGAACACUGUGCUCGAAUCUCGCUCGUUCUUCGUUCUCUCUUUUACUUCCCGCGUUGCUUUUUAUCUCCCUCUCUGCCUCUCUGGGUCUGUGUCUCUGCGUGUGUCUCUUCCAUAUUCUGCCCUCCUGCCCUCAGGCGCGCACGGCACGUUCCAUUGCAGGUGGAGCGUUCAUCCGUACAAACGCACCGCCACCCCCCCCCAGCCCUGACCACCACCACCUCCUCCCAGUCCUACUCCUCCCUCUCAUCGUGCGCAUACUUUGCGUGAUCGCGGCACCGUCAGACGCAUCGAAGAAAAAGCGAAAAUGGCGUGCGCCUCCGUCUGCGACGCCAUCCUCACGUUUUUGCGAAAGUUUUUUUCGCUGAUACUCGCGAUUGCGAUGGCCUUCUUCACGAUGAUGUACGUCAUCGGCGCUGGCGUGGUGACCACGCAGGCGAAGAGCUUCAGCAAGUCUGGCUUUGCCCAUUUCUUGGGGAUCGUCUUUUCCAUUGUCUCCGUGAUUGGGUACCUUAUCCUGCACUUCGUGCCCCGCAAGGCGUACCGCCUUCUUUACGCCAUCACCUUCCUGAUGCUUACGACGAUGUUCCUGGUGGCCCACUCGAUGGGGCUAGCGGCGCCGGUUGUGGCCGACUGCAACGCCGCCGGCUCGCUGCACUUCACGGGUAACUAUACCGGUAUCGGUAGUAUCGGCUCCAUACUGGAUGACAACAACGAGAACGUGACGAUUGGGCGCCUCGGCGAGCCGGUGGCGCAGUGCAAAAGUAACGCCCUGCUGUUCGCCGCCUCCUUCAUCAACAUGUUCCUCUACGUGAUCGCGCUCUUCGACGUGCAGACGGUGCUGCUGGCCCGUGUCAAGUCGAAGACCUACGGCGAGCGUUUUGUGGAGAUGGGCAUCAGCAACUAAAGGGAUAGCAGCGGCAAGGGAUGACGAGGAAGCACACACGCACUCCGCAGAAGAAGAGAAAGACCUUCGAAGGAUGCGGGACGAUCAAGGCGUGCCAAGUCAGCGAUGGAGGGCCGUUUCGUCCAAAACCAACUCGAGAUGCAGUGGAGCCGGGGGGUCAUUCAGUGUGCAGCAAAGAGCAGCGACUCCAUCAACAGGUGCGUGCCGGACGGCAACUCCUUCUGCGUCCCCUGAGUGCUGCGCGCAUGUCUGCGCUCCUGUGUGUAUGUGUGUAUACAUCUGUGUGUGUGUGUGUGUUUACGCGCGCGUCUGCCGCUUCAGCGUUGCAAAAAGGGGCCGCAUAGCCGGAGGGUUGGUUUACACCGGCAGACAUGCAUCCCUCACGGACUACCCUCUUCCCCCUCCUCCUUCCAUAGCUCGAGCAAUCGCCCAGCACACACACACACACACACACGCAUCCCUACCCCUGCGUCUCUCCGUCCACCCUCUCGUCCGCCUACGACUUCUCGAGGGUCGUUGCGCAUGUCUCUGCUGUUCUGCCUAUACGUCAGCGUGUCUGUGUCUCCAUGUCUGUGUGUGUGUGUGUGUGUCGCAUGUCUGGGGUGGUCGCUCACCCCAUGCUUUAUUGCUUCAAAUAUUUCUUGGUUGCCUUCCCCGCUCACGACGACGUGUAGAGUUUGGAGAGGGGCAGAAAGGGAACAAGGCCGCCUCGUGUACGUCUUGAAGUACACGCGCGCAUGUCAUUGUGCUGCCCUCGCUCUCCCCCCCCCUCUCUCUCUUUUCGACUCCUGCGAGACACACCAGAGACACGGGCACCGACGCGCGCGCGUGUGGGUGUGGGUGUCGCCGGUCUCUGCCGUACCAAAGUUCCUUUCCUGUUCCUUGCUUCGUUAUUUUCCUUCGCUGUUGUCGGCGUUGUUUGUCCCCCUCCCCCCCCCUCUCUCCCAUCAUUCAUUCCUAUCGUGUGCGCACUCCCUCUGGGCUGCUUCUCUGGGCACUUGUGCAGUCGCUGUGGUGGUGGUAUGGUGAGCCCCCGCCCCCUUAUUCGCUUCCUUGGCAGUGGUUGUCGAGGACGGAGUGCGCGCUCGCUGUCUGUCUGUAUGUCCGUGUUGUGCUCAGUGGCCAAUGCGGUGAGGGAGAGCUAGGGAGCGGCUUCGUCGUAGGUCGAAGUGUGCGGGUGUGGGAGAUCUGGUUCGCUGGUUGUGAUCGUGUUUGCCGUCGUCUUAUUCGAUGACUGAAAAGGCAGAGCAAGCGUGCACUGAAAAGAAUGCUGAGGGCAUGCAUGUGUGCGUGUGUCUAGGCGAUGAAGGUGCAUCGAGAAGGCGCGUGUGCACAUGUCUGUGUAUGAGCUUUAGUUGGUGACUGGCAAAAGGAGGAUUAAUCGAGAAUGCGCUCCUCCACCCACCCACCCCUCUCUAUCUCCUGAUACCCCCUGUCCUCCUCACC
rnacentral:misc_RNA from 1 species